AUUGAACGCUGGCGGCAUGCCUUACACAUGCAAGUCGAACGGUAACAGGUCUUCGGAUGCUGACGAGUGGCGAACGGGCGAGUAAUACAUCGGAACGUGCCCGAUCGUGGGGGAUAACGAAGCGAAAGCUUUGCUAAUACCGCAUACGAUCUACGGAUGAAAGCAGGGGACCGCAAGGCCUUGCGCGAACGGAGCGGCCGAUGGCAGAUUAGGUAGUUGGUGGGAUAAAAGCUUACCAAGCCGACGAUCUGUAGCUGGACUGAGAGGACGACCAGCCACACUGGGACUGAGACACGGCCCAGACUCCUACGGGAGGCAGCAGUGGGGAAUUUUGGACAAUGGGCGAAAGCCUGAUCCAGUCAUGCCGCGUGCAGGAUGAAGGCCUUCGGGUUGUAAACUGCUUUUGUACGGAACGAAAAGACUCUGGUUAAUACCUGGGGUCCAUGACGGUACCGUAAGAAUAAGCACCGGCUAACUACGUG
rnacentral:rRNA from 1 species